GUGAGUAACACGUGGGCAACCUGCCUAUGAGACUGGGAUAACUCCGGGAAACCGGGGCUAAUACCGGAUAAUUCUUUUCUACACAUGUAGAAAAGCUGAAAGAUGGUUUCGGCUAUCACCCAUAGAUGGGCCCGCGGCGCAUUAGCUAGUUGGUGAGGUAACGGCUCACCAAGGCGACGAUGCGUAGCCGACCUGAGAGGGUGAUCGGCCACACUGGGACUGAGACACGGCCCAG
rnacentral:rRNA from 1 species